CGGGGCUCCGUGGGGCUGCUGCGCGGAGCUGAGGGCUCGAGGCGCGGAACGGGGCGGCCGCCGGCCGCGCAGCGCUGAGGAGGAGCACCUACCUGUGGCAUGGGAGACGCGAGAUCUUCUUGCACAAGAGCCUAAAAGUAUUUAAUGUUUACAGGAUGAAAACAUGGCACAGGCACUGCUGGUACCACCAGGACCUGAAAGCUUCCGCUAUUUCACCAAGGAGUCUCUUGCUGCUAUUGAAAAACGAAUUGCUGAUGAAAAGUCUAAUCAUGAUAAAAAUGAGCAUAAAGAUGAUGGUGGUCAUGAAGAAGUUCAGCCAACGCCAAAUAAUGACUUGGAGGCAGGAAAGACACUGCCAUUUAUUUAUGGUGAUAUUCCUCCAGACAUGGUAUCUGAGCCCCUGGAGGACUUGGAUCCAUAUUAUAUCAAUAAAAAAACAUUUAUAGUAUUGAAUAAAGGGAAGACAAUCUUCAGGUUCAGUGCCACACCUGCCUUGUACCUUUUAUCUCCUUUCAAUGUUAUUAGAAGAGUAGCUAUUAAGAUCUUAGUUCAUUCGUUGUUCAGCAUGCUCAUUAUGCUCACGAUUUUGACAAACUGUGUGUUCAUGACAUGGAGCAGACUUCCAGAAUGGACAAAGAAUGUGGAGUACACUUUCACUGGAAUUUAUACUUUUGAAUUUCUGGUAAAAAUCCUUGCGAGAGGUUUCUGUAUAGAUGAUUUUACUUGCCUCCGUGACCCUUGGAAUUGGCUUGAUUUUGUUGUCAUUUCCUUUGCGUAUAUAACAGAGUUUGUAAACCUAGGCAAUGUUUCAGCUCUGCGCACUUUCAGGGUUCUGAGAGCUUUGAAAACUAUUUCUGUAAUCCCAGGCCUGAAGACUAUUGUGGGAGCCUUAAUUCAGUCUGUGAAGAAGCUCUCAGAUGUAAUGAUUUUGACAGUUUUUUGCCUGAGUGUGUUCGCACUAAUUGGGCUCCAGCUGUUCAUGGGCAACUUGAAGAAUAAAUGUUUGUUGUGGCCAUCAAGAAAUUCAACCUCUUUUGAAAAAUACUUAGCUCCAUACUUCAAUGGUACAGAGUUUGACUGGGCAGAAUACAUUGAGGAUGAAAGUCAUUUUUAUCGUCUAGAAGGACAAAAGGAUCAUCUGCUUUGUGGCAAUAGCUCAGAUGCAGGUAAAUGUCCAGAAGGGUUUAUCUGCGUGAAAGCAGGUAGAAACCCCAACUAUGGAUAUACUAGUUUUGACACAUUCAGUUGGGCUUUUUUGUCCCUGUUUCGACUUAUGACACAGGACUACUGGGAAAAUCUUUAUCAGCUGACAUUACGAGCUGUUGGCAAAACAUACAUGAUAUUUUUCGUUCUUGUCAUUUUUCUGGGUUCCUUCUAUCUGAUUAACUUGAUUUUGGCUGUGGUUGCCAUGGCGUAUGAAGAACAAAAUCAAGCAACUAUGGUUGAAGCAGAACAGAGGGAGGCAGACUUGCAGCAGAUGCUUGAACAGCUGAAGAGGCAGCAAGAAGAAGCUCAGGCAAUUGCAGCAGCUGCAAUAGAGAUGACAGAGUUUGGUGGUGAAAGUGGACCUUCAGACAGUUCUUCUGAAGCAUCCAAGCUUAGCUCAAAAAGUGCCAAAGAAAGGAGAAAUAGAAGGAAGAAAAGAAGGCAGCGGGAGCAUUCUGGGGAAGAUGAUAACAUGAAAGAUACAACACUUUCAAAAUCUGAAUCAGAUGGCAGUAUCAGAAGGAAAGGUUUUAGAUUUUCUUUCGAUGGCAACAAACUCGCUUAUGGGACCCGACUCACAUCACCCCACCAGUCUUUACUAAGCAUUCGUGGCUCCCUGUUUUCUCCCAGACGUAGUAGCAGAACAAGUCUUUUCAGUUUUAGAGAUCAUGGAAAAGAGAGAGGAUCAGAAAAUGACUUUGCUGAUGAUGAACACAGCGCAUUUGAUGAUAACGGAAGCAGAAGAGGUUCUCUUUUUGUACCACUGAAACACAGUGAACGACGUGGUAGUAACAUUAGUCAGGCCAGCAGAUCAUCAAGAAGGCUGACACUGUUUCCAGUGAAUGGGAAGAUGCAUAGCACUGUGGAUUGCAAUGGAGUGGUUUCUUUAGUGGAUAGACCUCCAUGUCUCUUGUCACCUACAGGGCAGCUUCUGCCAGAGGUGAAAAUAGACAAACCAACAACUGAUGACAACAGUACUACUGCAGAAAUGGAAAUAAAAAAGAGACGUUCAAGCUCAUAUCAAAUACCAAUGGAUUUGCUGGAGGAUCCCAAUCUAAGACAAAGAGCCAUGAGUAUAGCUGGCAUUAUCACAAAUACAAUGGAAGAACUUGAAGAAUCCAGACAAAAAUGUCCGCCCUGCUGGUACAAGUUUGCCCACACAUACUUAAUUUGGAAUUGUUGUGAGCUUUGGAUAAGAGUGAAGAGUGUAGUUUCAUUUAUUGUAAUGGAUCCACUUGUUGAUCUGGCUAUCACUAUUUGCAUAAUUUUAAACACACUGUUUAUGGCCAUGGAGCAUUAUCCAAUGACAGAUACUUUUAACAACACACUUAAAGUAGGAAAUCAGGUUUUUACUGGAAUUUUUGCCGCAGAAAUGGUUCUCAAAAUAAUUGCCAUGGAUCCUUUUUAUUAUUUCCAAGUUGGCUGGAAUAUUUUCGAUAGUGUUAUAGUUACCCUUAGUUUGGUGGAGCUUUUUCUGGCAAACGUGGAUGGAUUAUCUGUUCUGCGGUCAUUCAGAUUGCUUCGAGUUUUUAAACUGGCAAAAUCCUGGCCAACUCUAAAUAUGCUGAUUAAGAUUAUUGGCAACUCAGUGGGAGCUUUGGGCAAUUUGACCCUGGUGCUGGCCAUCAUUGUGUUCAUUUUUGCUGUGGUUGGGAUGCAGCUGUUUGGGAAAAGCUACAAGGAAUGUGUCUGCAAGAUCUCCAGUGACUGUGAACUUCCACGCUGGCACAUGCAUGAUUUUUUCCACUCUUUCUUGAUUGUAUUCCGAGUGCUGUGUGGAGAAUGGAUAGAAACAAUGUGGGACUGCAUGGAGGUUGCUGGCCAGCCUAUGUGCCUUACUGUCUUCAUGAUGGUCAUGGUGAUUGGAAACCUAGUGGUACUGAACCUUUUUCUGGCCUUGCUGCUGAGUUCAUUUAGUUCAGACAGCCUUUCUCCUACUGAGGAUGAUAAUGAAAUGAAUAAUUUACAGAUAGCUGUUGCAAGAAUUCAGAAGGGAAUAGCUUAUGUGAAGCAAAAAGUAGGUGAAUAUAUCCAAAAAUCUUGCUGGAGGAAACAAGUGGCUGCAAAUGAAAGAACAGCAACAGAUCAGAUUAAUGAUGAAAGACACCAUUGCAUUUCCAACUGUACCAUUGCUGAAAUAAAGAAAGAUACAACUUACCACAACAAUGAGAAUGGAACAGCUGGUGUUGUAGGAAGCAGUGACUAUCCAUUGUUCAUAAACAAUCCAAGCCUUACUGUUACAGUACCGAUAGCUGUUGGAGAAUCUGACUUUGAACAUCUAAAUACAGAAGAGUUUAGUAGUGACUCAGAUUUGGAGGAAAGCAAGGAGAAGAUAAAUCUUUCCAGCUCAUCUGAAGGAAGUACAGUUAAUUUGGCUCUGUUUGGAGAAGAAAAAGCUGAGACUGAACCAGAAAAAGGAGCGGAGCUACAGACAUGUUUUACAGAAGGCUGUAUACAGAAGUUUAAAUGCUGUAGAUGCAAUAUAGAAAGCAGAAGAGGAAUAAUCUGGUGGAACCUUAGGAAAACUUGCUACAGGAUAGUAGAACACAACUGGUUUGAAACAUUCAUUGUCUUCAUGAUUCUUCUCAGCAGUGGUACUCUGGCUUUUGAAGAUAUAUAUAUUGAACAGCGCAAGACUAUCAGGCUCAUACUGGACUAUGCUGAUAAAAUCUUCACUUACAUCUUUAUUCUGGAAAUGGUGCUAAAAUGGGUGGCUUAUGGUUUUCAAACUUACUUUACUAAUGCGUGGUGCUGGCUGGACUUCCUGAUAGUUGAUGUUUCCUUAGUUAGCUUAGUAGCUAAUGCUCUUGGUUUCUCAGAACUUGGUGCAAUUAAAUCUCUCCGAACAUUAAGGGCUUUAAGACCUCUAAGAGCUUUGUCACGCUUCGAAGGAAUGAGGGUGGUUGUGAAUGCUCUUACUGGAGCAAUCCCAUCCAUAAUGAAUGUGCUUCUGGUUUGUCUUACGUUCUGGCUAAUUUUCAGCAUCAUGGGAGUAAAUUUGUUUGCUGGGAAGUUCUACUACUGUGUUAACACCACAACUGGACUUCAAUUCAAACCAGAUGAAGUUGAUAACAAAACUAUGUGCGAAAAUCUUAGGAGCACUGCAUCAGAAGUUCGAUGGAAAAAUGUGAAAGUAAACUUUGAUAAUGUUGGAGCUGGUUAUCUUUCUCUACUUCAAGUUGCAACAUUUAAAGGAUGGAUGGAUAUCAUGUAUGCUGCUGUUGACUCUAGGGAAGUAGGGGAUCAGCCCAUGUAUGAGUAUAACCUAUACAUGUAUCUUUACUUUGUUGCCUUUAUCAUCUUUGGAUCCUUUUUCACCCUAAACUUGUUCAUUGGUGUCAUCAUAGAUAACUUCAACCAACAAAAAAAGAAGCUUGGAGGUCAAGACAUUUUUAUGACAGAAGAGCAAAAGAAAUACUACAAUGCAAUGAAGAAGUUAGGUUCCAAGAAACCACAAAAACCUAUACCCAGGCCAGCGAAUAAAUUGCAAGGUUUGGUGUUUGAUAUUGUAACAAAGCAAGCAUUUGACAUCGGCAUAAUGGUCCUCAUCUGUCUUAACAUGGUCACUAUGAUGAUAGAAACAGAUGACCAGAGUGAACUUAUGCAAAAUAUUUUAUACUGGAUUAACUUUGUCUUUGUUGUCCUUUUCACUGGAGAGUGUGUCUUUAAACUGUUCUCGCUCCGUUAUUAUUACUUCACUGUUGGCUGGAAUAUCUUUGAUUUUGUGGUUGUUAUUCUUUCAAUAGUAGGUAUGUUUUUAGCUAAGGUGAUUGAAAAGUAUUUUGUGUCCCCUACUUUGUUCCGAGUCAUCCGACUUGCCAGAAUAGGUCGCAUCCUGCGUCUCAUUAAAGGCGCAAAGGGAAUCCGCACUCUGCUUUUUGCUCUGAUGAUGUCUCUUCCUGCUUUGUUCAACAUUGGCCUGCUGCUCUUCUUGGUCAUGUUUAUCUAUGCGAUAUUUGGCAUGUCCAACUUUGCCUACGUUAAGAGGGAAGUUGGGAUUGAUGACAUGUUCAACUUUGAAACAUUUGGCAACAGCAUGAUCUGCCUAUUUCAAAUUACCACAUCUGCUGGCUGGGAUGGUUUGUUAGCCCCAAUUCUUAAUAGUGGGAAGCCAGACUGUGACCCUAACAAAAUUCACCCUGGGAGCUCUGUUAAAGGUGACUGUGGCAACCCUUCGGUUGGGAUUUUCUUCUUUGUCAGCUACAUCAUCAUAUCCUUUCUGGUGGUGGUGAACAUGUACAUUGCUGUCAUCCUGGAGAAUUUUGGUGUUGCAACUGAAGAAAGUGCUGAACCUUUGGGUGAGGAUGACUUUGAGAUGUUUUAUGAGGUUUGGGAAAAAUAUGAUCCAGAUGCAACACAGUUCAUAGAAUACAGCAAACUAUCUGAUUUUGCAGCUGCUCUGGAUCCUCCUCUUAAUAUACCAAAACCAAACAAGAUCCAGCUGAUUGCAAUGGAUCUGCCCAUGGUAAGCGGUGACAGAAUUCACUGCCUUGACAUCUUGUUUGCUUUCACAAAGCGAGUUCUGGGGGAGAGUGAUGAGAUGGAUGCCCUCAGAGUACAGAUGGAAGAUCGUUUUAUGGCAGCCAAUCCUUCUAAAGUCUCCUAUGAACCAAUCACAACCACAUUAAAACGGAAACAGGAGGAGGUCUCUGCUAUCAUUAUUCAGCGGGCAUAUAGAUGUUAUCUUUUAAGACGAUCAAUAAAGAAGCUUUCAUGUAUGUAUCGCAAAGAUGGGGUUGAUAUACUUAGCAAAAAUUAUAUGCUUUUUGGUAAGCUAAGUGAAAAUUCAUCUUCAGAAAAGACAGAUAUGACUUCAUCCACCACAUAUCCACCUUCCUAUGACAGUGUAACAAAACAAGAAAAGGAAAAAUAUGAAGAUGAUAAAUCAGAAAAAGAAGACAAGGGGAAAGACAGAAAAGGAAAUAAAAAGUAGAAGACAUAAAGAAGUGGCACUGGUGGCUGUUUAAAGCCUCAGAAGAUUAAAUUUUUAUCAAUAACACUUCUGUUGAAAGAUUAUGCCAAAGUGACAAGUUUUUACCUAUUUACCCAAUGCUACUGUCAGUGCCUGUACCAAGAUAAUGACUCGUCAUUAGCAAACCCUGUAUGUAGCAGGGAAACAAGCUUUCUAGAAGAAUAACUUUUAUUACCAGCUGGCACUAAUAGAGAGGAGACAUAACAUUUUUACUAUGUGGACUCUUAAUGGAGUGCUAAAUUACCAGUUCUAGUAAGUUUGUAUUUUGUGGAAUAUGUGUAUCCACUGUAUGCAUUUCAUCUACUAUGUAUGUGUGUCUUUUCCUUUGGUGGCUGCAUUUGCUGUAAUUCACAUUCUAUUAUUUGUAAUUGUACUCUGUUGAGGAAGAAGAUAAAUGCUCAUUCAGAGGAACACAAUGUCAUGAGUAGGUAAUUACAGAGUCGUAAUGUGAACACAGUCCUCUUCAAGCCACCACUUCUAAAAGCAGAAAAAUGAGAUUCCAGACUUUUGGACCUUAGAAUUUACAUCAGAUCAACAGCAAAUGAUAAAGAAUAUAGUUUAGAAAAAUACUUUAUCAGAAAACAAAACAAGAGAAGAAUCACUUUCACAGAAAGGAGCCCCACAGGACUUCAAUCAAGUUUCCACUUCAUAAAAUGCAGUCUUCCAUAGAAGGCUGAGAUGACCAAAUGAUGUACUUGAAUCAGCUUUGUUCUGCACUGUGGUUUAGAUGACUUUUUUCACAUCAAGGCUUAUAGAAGCUACAUAGGUAAAAUUGUUCUGUUACUUAGUCAGUUGUUUUACACAAUGUUACCUGUUUGAACAAAGAGACAAUGACCUAAGUACUAUAUUUAUUACAUUAAAUAUGUACCCACAUAACUGUAGCUUUUAAUAUUUCAGUAGAACAUAUGAUAUAUUCUGUAAUACACCAAAUAAUUGGGAAGCUUUAAUUGAUGCAUGCUUGCUGCUACUAUUCUACAGCUGUUAAGGUCUGAGAUGGAAAGACAUGUGAGUGUUAGAAAGGAAAAAAACUGUUCAGCAAGACCAUCAUUCCUCAGAACAGUAAGCAAUAGUUUGCUGCUAUUAUAGAUUCUAUUUUGAGUUUAUUAAUAAUAUGCUAUGAGUAAACAGACAAUACGAGAUUAAUAUUCUGCUUAACUUGCUUAAAAUGUGAGUCUAUAAAAUUAUAUAUCUAUUGAUCUAUUCAUGUUAUUUUGCAAAGAAAUUCAUUUUAUAAUAUUUUACACAUAUUAAAAGAUACUACAAAUAUCUUCAUGUUGAUCAAUUUUAUUACUUUCUAUCUGUAAUAGGUUUUUUGUUGUUGAGGAACAUAAGAUACAGUAUGAAUUGGCAAUUGCACUUCUCUGUUAAUUAUAUGAAAAUAGAUUUCAAUAAGUAGUAGUUAUAAAAUAAGUGAACAGCUAAGAUCUUUUUCUGAUUGGUAGGUAGUUUCUUGUAUGUGACACGAGAUGGAAGAAAGUUUUCUAUUAAUGUCAUAAUCUUGUCUAUCAAUUUUCAGGUUAAUUUUUGUCAUAGAAAGCUUGUUUAUCUGCCAUGUUAUGCUCACUGCCUGCUUGUCCUGUGCAUUCAUCCUGCAGUAGUAGUGCUUUAAAUAUCAUUUGCUAUUCAAAAUCUUUCUUCAUAAGAAUGAAUAGUGUAACGGGCACUUGUGUAAUGGGCAGUGGAAUAUCUUCCAAUUCUUACAAAAGAAACUGUAGAUGGGCUUUUGCUUUUACAGAAACUGGUUUGUGUACUGGUAAAUUGCAUGCAGGAUGUUGUUUUACCAAAAAUAACUACAUUGCUAACAACCCAGAAGAAUAAAGAUAACCUUUUUAUGUA